GUCAUGUGGGGAAAGAGAGAAAGUUAGUAUUCCUCUUGAGAAGGACAGAAGAGGUUCUAGUGACUUUUGGUCAUAUACGGAUAUAAUAGUGCCACUUACUCAGUGGCAUUUAACCAUGUUUCCUU
ensembl:snRNA